rnacentral:rRNA from 1 species
AUGACAUCCUGUAUGCGCUUGGACACCCAGCAGAUUGAAAAUAUAGAAGCAAAGAUAUCCAAUACGAGGCCACGAUGCCCGACAGAGAUGCAGCCAAUACGUGCCCAAUCUUUAUUUCUUGAUGUUGGAACAACAAAUAAGAGCAUGUUCAUGUUUACUUAUUAUGUUUUUUUUCGAGAAAUUUUGGGGAUUUACAAGCUGAAAUUAUUGACUGUCUGA